rnacentral:rRNA from 1 species
AUUGAACGCUGGCGGCAUGCCUUACACAUGCAAGUCGAACGGCAGCGGGGACUUCGGUCCGCCGGCGAGUGGCGAACGGGUGAGUAAUGUAUCGGAACGUACCAUUCAGUGGGGGAUAACUAUCCGAAAGGAUAGCUAAUACCGCAUACGCCCCAAGGGGGAAAGCGGGGGAUCUUCGGACCUCGUGCUAUAGGAGGAGCCUGCGUCGGAUUAGCUAGUUGGUGAGGUAAAGGCUCACCAAGGCGACGAUCCGUAGCUGGUCUGAGAGGAUGAUCAGCCACACCGGAACUGAGACACGGUCCGGACUCCUACGGGAGGCAGCAGUGGGGAAUAUUGCGCAAUGGGCGAAAGCCUGAUGCAGCCAUACCGCGUGUGUGAAGAAGGCCUUCGGGUUGUAAAGCACUUUCAGUGGGGAGGAAAAGCUGGUGGCUAAUAUCCAUCGGCCGUGACGCUACCCACAGAAGAAGCACCGGCUAAUUCCGUGCCAGCCGCCGCGGUAACAC